UCACAUGGUCUAGUGGUUAGGAUUCUUGGCUUUCACCUAGGCGGCCCGGGUUCGAUUCCCGGCAUGGGAA
rnacentral:tRNA from 1 species